rnacentral:rRNA from 1 species
GAGUUUGAUCCUGGCUCAGAUUGAACGCUGGCGGCAUGCCUUACACAUGCAAGGUCGAACGGCAGCACGGGAGCUUGCUCCUGGUGGCGAGUGGCGAACGGGUGAGUAAUGCAUCGGAACGUAUCCUGGAGUGGGGGAUAACGUAGCGAAAGUUACGCUAAUACCGCAUAUUCUGUGAGUCAGGAAAGCGGGGGACCUUCGGGCCUCGCGCUCUUGGAGCGGCCGAUGUCGGAUUAGCUAGUUGGUGAGGUAAAGGCUCACCAAGGCGACGAUCCGUAGCGAGGUCUGAGAGGACUGAUCUGCCACACUGGAACUGAGACACGGU